UUUUCGUAUAAUAACUUGGUAUAUUUAUUUUAAAAAUGAAAAAAAAAACAUAUUUUUUUUUACUAAAAA
rnacentral:tRNA from 1 species